AAUUCGACGCAACGCGCAGAACCUUACCUAGACUUGACAUCCCGGGGAUUUUCUGGAAACAGAGAAGUGCUUUAGCAAUAAAGAACCCGGUGACAGGUGCUGCAUGGCUGUCGUCAGCUCGUGUCGUGAGAUGUUGGGUUAAGUCCCGCAACGAGCGCAACCCUCGCCUUUAGUUGCCAGCAUUCAGUUGGGCACUCUAGAGGGACUGCCGGUGUCAAACCGGAGGAAGGUGGGAUGACGUCAAGUCCUCAUGGCCUUUAUGUCUAGGGCUACACACGUACUACAAUGGCCGGUACAAAGGGCAGCCACUCAGCGAUGAGGCGCUAAUCCCAUAAAGCCGGUCUCAGUCCGGAUCGCAGUCUGCAACUCGACUCCGUGAAGCUGGAUUCGCUAGUAAUCGCGCAUCAGCCAUGGCGCGGUGAAUACGUUCCCGGGCCUU
rnacentral:rRNA from 1 species